rnacentral:rRNA from 1 species
GAUAAACGCUGGCGGCGUGCAUGAGACAUGCAAGUCGAACGGAUGAUCAGGGCUUGCUCUGAUCGUUAGUGGCGGACGGCUGAGUAACGCGUGGGUGACCUACCCCGAAGUGGGGAAUAACUGCCCGAAAGGGUGGCUAAUACCGCAUACGAUCGUUAAUUCACUUUAUCGAUCAAAGCAGUGAUGCGCUUUGGGAGGGGCCUGCGUCCGAUUAGCUCGUUGGUGGGGUAAUGGCUCACCAAGGCGACGAUCGGUAGGUGGUCUGAGAGGACGAUCACCCAGACUGGGACUGAGACACGGCCCAGACUCCUACGGGAGGCAGCAGUCGGGAAUUUUGCUCAAUGGGCGAAAGCCUGAAGCAGCAACGCCGCGUGAGGGAUGAAGGCCUUCGGGUUGUAAACCUCUUUUCUCAGGGAAGAUUAUGACGGUACCUGAGGAAUAAGCCACGGCUAACUACGUGCCAGCAGCCGCCGUAAUAC